rnacentral:rRNA from 1 species
UAGGGAAUCUUCCACAAUGGACGAAAGUCUGAUGGAGCAACGCCGCGUGAGUGAAGAAGGGUUUCGGGUCGUAAAGCACUGUUGUAUGGGAAGAACAGCUAGAAUAGGAAAUGAUUUUAGUUUGACGGUACCAUACCAGAAAGGGACGGCUAAAUACGUGCUAG